rnacentral:lncRNA from 1 species
GGACUGGACGGUUUUCCUCUGCUCUUCUUCGAGAGAUAUUGGAGCAUCAUUCGGAAUGAGAUGAUGGAUGUGGUGUAGCAAUUCUUCACUACUGGGAGAAUGUCAAUGGUCUGAAAGUAGAUCUUUGUCAUCCUAAUCUCAAAGCAACAGAAUGCCUUCGAGCCGAGUCACUACAAGUCCUUAGCUUAUGCACGACCCUAUACAAGGCCUAUGCUAAAGUCAUGGUUGGUAGGAUGAAGCAUCUACUUCCACAUCUCAUCUA